rnacentral:rRNA from 1 species
CCAUGCAGUCGAGCGGUAGCACAGAGAGCUUGCUCUCGGGUGACGAGCGGCGGACGGGUGAGUAAUGUCUGGGAAACUGCCUGAUGGAGGGGGAUAACUACUGGAAACGGUAGCUAAUACCGCAUAACGUCGCAAGACCAAAGUGGGGGACCUUCGGGCCUCAUGCCAUCAGAUGUGCCCAGAUGGGAUUAGCUAGUAGGUGGGGUAACGGCUCACCUAGGCGACGAUCCCUAGCUGGUCUGAGAGGAUGACCAGCCACACUGGAACUGAGACACGGUCCAGACUCCUACGGGAGGCAGCAGUGGGGAAUAUUGCACAAUGGGCGCAAGCCUGAUGCAGCCAUGCCGCGUGUGUGAAGAAGGCCUUCGGGUUGUAAAGCACUUUCAGCGGGGAGGAAGGCGAUAAGGUUAAUAACCUUGUCGAUUGACGUUACCCGCAGAAGAAGCACCGGCUAACUCCGUGCCAGCAGCCGCGGUAAUACGGAGGGUGCAAGCGUUAAUCGGAAUUACUGGGCGUAAAGCGCACGCAGGCGGUCUGUCAAGUCGGAUGUGAAAUCCCCGGGCUCAACCUGGGAACUGCAUUCGAAACUGGCAGGCUAGAGUCUUGUAGAGGGGGGUAGAAUUCCAGGUGUAGCGGUGAAAUGCGUAGAGAUCUGGAGGAAUACCGGUGGCGAAGGCGGCCCCCUGGACAAAGACUGACGCUCAGGUGCGAAAGCGUGGGGAGCAAACAGGAUUAGAUACCCUGGUAGUCCACGCCGUAAACGAUGUCGAUUUGGAGGUUGUGCCCUUGAGGCGUGGCUUCCGGAGCUAACGCGUUAAAUCGACCGCCUGGGGAGUACGGCCGCAAGGUUAAAACUCAAAUGAAUUGACGGGGGCCCGCACAAGCGGUGGAGCAUGUGGUUUAAUUCGAUGCAACGCGAAGAACCUUACCUGGUCUUGACAUCCACAGAACUUUCCAGAGAUGGAUUGGUGCCUUCGGGAACUGUGAGACAGGUGCUGCAUGGCUGUCGUCAGCUCGUGUUGUGAAAUGUUGGGUUAAGUCCCGCAACGAGCGCAACCCUUAUCCUUUGUUGCCAGCGGUCCGGCCGGGAACUCAAAGGAGACUGCCAGUGAUAAACUGGAGGAAGGUGGGGAUGACGUCAAGUCAUCAUGGCCCUUACGACCAGGGCUACACACGUGCUACAAUGGCAUAUACAAAGAGAAGCGACCUCGCGAGAGCAAGCGGACCUCAUAAAGUAUGUCGUAGUCCGGAUUGGAGUCUGCAACUCGACUCCAUGAAGUCGGAAUCGCUAGUAAUCGUAGAUCAGAAUGCUACGGUGAAUACGUUCCCGGGCCUUGUACACACCGCCCGUCACACCAUGGGAGUGGGUUGCAAAAGAAGUAGGUAGCUUAACCUUCGGGAGGGCGCUA